ACGUGUGUGUGCAUGUGCAUGUGUGUUUAUGAACAGGGACAAUAUACAUAAGUGUAAGUCCUUAAUUUUUCAGCUCAGCUUUUACAUAUGCACACAUCUGU
rnacentral:pre_miRNA from 1 species